rnacentral:rRNA from 1 species
GACGAACGCUGGCGGCGUGCUUAACACAUGCAAGUCGAACGAGGAGCGAUGGAAGCUUGCUUCUAUCAAUCUUAGUGGCGAACGGGUGAGUAACGCGUAAUCAACCUGCCCUUCAGAGGGGGACAACAGUUGGAAACGACUGCUAAUACCGCAUACGAUCUAAUCUCGGCAUCGAGGAUAGAUGAAAGGUGGCCUCUACAUGUAAGCUAUCACUGAAGGAGGGGAUUGCGUCUGAUUAGCUAGUUGGAGGGGUAACGGCCCACCAAGGCGAUGAUCAGUAGCCGGUCUGAGAGGAUGAACGGCCACAUUGGGACUGAGACACGGCCCAGACUCCUACGGGAGGCAGCAGUGGGGAAUCUUCCGCAAUGGACGAAAGUCUGACGGAGCAACGCCGCGUGAGUGAUGACGGGCUUCGGGUUGUAAAGCUCUGUUAAUCGGGACGAAAGGCCUUCUUGCGAAUAGUGAGAAG